GUGUCAGCAGCCGCGGUAAUACCAGCACCUCGAGUGGUCAGGACGUUUAUUGGGCCUAAAGCAUCCGUAGCCGGCUUUGCAAGUCUUCGGUUAAAUCCACCUGCUCAACAGAUGGGCCGCUGGAGAUACUACAGAGCUAGGGAGUGGGAGAGGCAGACGGUAUUCAGUGGGUAGGGGUAAAAUCCUCUGAUCCAUUGAGGACCACCAGUGGCGAAGGCGGUCUGCCAGAACACGUUCGACGGUGAGGGAUGAAAGCUGGGGGAGCAAACCGGAUUAGAUACCCGGGUAGUCCCAGCUGUAAACGAUGCAAACUCGGUGAUGCAUUGGCUUAUGGCCAAUGCAGUGCCGCAGGGAAGCCGUUAAGUUUGCCGCCUGGGAAGUACGGACGCAAGUCUGAA
rnacentral:rRNA from 1 species